rnacentral:lncRNA from 1 species
AUGAGCGGAGCCCGGAGCCAGGCUAUUUGGCUGUGGCUGCAUUGGGAGCUGGGGACACAGAGGGACAAGACGACCUGUCCGGUGGGAACUGGAGCCCCUACAGAGGGGCCCUGUGAAGCCGCAGGGGAGCUGCCAGGUUUCUGCCUUCCUACAGCCCCGCAGCGGCGAGAACACGGUGGAUCCCGAGCGGUCUCCUGGCGCAAGGAUCUGAGAGCAAGCACGGAGCAAGCACGGAGCAAGCACGGAGCAAGCACCGAGCAAGCACCGAGCAAGCACCGAGCAAGCACCGAGCAAGCACCGAGCAAGCACCUGCACCGCGUGGGCUGCUUUUGUGUCCAGUUUUUUGAACCAGGAGCCUUCUAUACAGGCCUAGUGUUUGUGCCAAAGCCAUUCCUCUCGCAGGGCGUCUUCCAUGCUACGCUCCACGCCCCUGGGGGCUGCGGCCAGGAGUUGGGGCGCUCCUGGCCGAGGACGCGCCUCUGCUUCCGGGAAGCUGCUCCGCCAGGCUCCCGCUUCCGGCUCCCCAGCUCCGGGAGGCGGAGCUUCGUCGGCCUCUCCAGGCUGUGGUGCCCCCGCGGCCUCCCAGGCCCCCAAACUCUUUGCUUGGCCUUGUGCUUGCUGCUGCUGCCUGAGAAACCUUCUCAUGCCCGUCACAGACCACGGCCUCGCGGGGCUCCCAGGGCCGCACCCUUGCCCUUGACCCAGCUCCUAAAAGGCCACCACACCCAGGGUCUCCGUGAAGCGCCAAGGUCACAAAAUGGGGACAGAACAAGGAGGAAGAGGAAGAGCUAAAGAGGGACAGGCGGCGCGGCAGAAGGUGCAGGUAGGAGAGGCACCUCGCCUGGCUUGGGGUGGUGGUGGUGCGGGAAGGUUCCCGUGGGGGGACUGUGGAGGGGAGACCUGAGGGAAAUCGCGGAAGUAGCCUGGGCUACUUGGGGAGCUCCUGGGGAAGGAGGGCGAAGGCAGAGCAGGAACAGAGGCCUGAACGUGGAAGAAAAGCCCCAGUGAGGGCGGGUCCGUGGGGCGGGGAGAGGGGCAGAGAGGUGAACAGUGUGGGGAGCCUUCUGAUGGAUGGUUCCAGAGAAAUGACAGCCCUCAGUGCUUAUUGGAUGUGGAAUGUGAGAGAGGGGUCACUACAGCGGCACUGUGGCCCUGCUGACUUGGGCAGCUGGAAGAAUAAAAGGAAGACAGAGGUGGUAGCAGGCACUGAAUGGAAACCAGGUCAGCAGGAUUGGGAAGGAAGAUCUGAUGAUUUCUCCUCCUUUUCCCUUCCCCUCCCUCCUUCUUCUAACUCCACGAGUCUGAAACACUUGUGGAAAAUCUGCUUAAGCUAGAAUGGUUCUGGGGUGCAGUUUCUACCUACAGAUUUAAAGAAUGCUUGUUCAUCUAGGAAACAUGGACGUUCCAACUAACAAGGUUGUGUUACUCCAUAAAUUCUACAAAGUAUGAUACAAAUGGCAAAGAAUACUGAAAAUACACCAUUUGGAUAUGAUUCCAGAUGUUUCCAUCACGAUCAUGAGAGGAACACAGGUCAGUUUUAAAGAUGGCAAUUUUUAUUAGCGUGUGUGUCUUGUAGUGACACCUAGUCAAAGUUUUUGCAGGUCAGCAGGUCGACCUCGAGCCAAGACGUUUUUAAAACGCUUUGAGAGGAGGCGGGCAGAAGCAUCAGCCACACGCACAGUAGUCCUUCGUGAAACUGGCUGGUUUCUCAGGAAGGCCUGCCUCACAAUUACCAAGCAGGACAAACAAGACUGUCUCCCUGAGCAAACACGGCCAAGUCAGGAACUGUGAAAUUUUCUCUAUCAAAAAAGUCCCCAGAGAGCCUGAAACUCAUUUAGAGCUGGUUCAGAGAGAACCAGUUCGAGGAACAUGACUAACUUCGUACAGCACCUUUAAAAUAACAACUUUCCAUUAAGCUGUGAACACUAAGGAAAACAUUUCUCACAAAUAUUUUUUAACCAACUUCCAACAGAGCAUUGCCUUAUACAGCUGCCGUGACUGAAACACUGCUUUCGUUCUAUGAGGAGCUAUAGGACCUCCUGCAGAGAUGAGCAUGCUCUCAGGGCAUGGCUUUUUACAGCUUUUCUAGGAGGAAAAUAGAGUAGGAAUUCUCCACAUCAUUUGUAAUGUGAAAUAUUCUUUGGCUCUGUUACAUAAAAAUACAUAUCAGAAUAAAAGUGAUGGUGAGGUGAACAUGAAUUUACUAUUGAAUCUCACUCUUUCUUAAAAAAAAAAGAGAGAGAGAGAAUUAUAAGGACUUAUUAGACACCAGGCACCUUUAUAGGUGCUGGAGAUGAGAAGCUAAAUGAUAAGGUCUCUCAUUCUAUGUGGACAUUCACAAGGUCUCACUCACAAGGUCUCAUUCAUAAGGCCUCACAUUCUAUGUGGACAGAAAGAGAAUAAACAAGAAAACAUAGAAAUGAACAAAAUAAUUUCAGUUUGUGCUGAGCAGUAUGAAGAACUAUGAACAGUGGGUUUAUGGAAGAAUGUUAGGGGCUGGGGCAAGGCGUGCAAUUAGAAGAGUAGUCAGGAAUGUUUAGUUCAUACAUUUCAUAGAAGAGAGUGAUAUUCAUGAUAUGUGAAAAUUACAAAAAAUUUCAAAUUUUCGCACCCAUAGAUGAAGUUGUAUUGGAAUGUAGCCAUGUUUAUGUAUUGUCUAUCACUAAUUUGUGCUAUGUUGUCAAAGUUGAGUCAUUACAGCAGAGAGAGUAUGGCUUCCAAAGCAGAAAUAUUUACUAUGUGGUUCUUUACAGAAAUAGUUUUCUGAUCUGGUCUAGAUUUAGGAAAAUGAGAAGGAAAUGUUAAGAAUGCAGAUUCUUAAACAUUAAAAUUAAGAGUGUUGUGUCUCUUAGAGUUACAUUAUGAAUAGUACAAAAAUGAGGAAAUAUUUUUGCAGUAUUUGGAAACUAUUAUCCAAUCCAACAAAGAAAUCUUUCACAUUGUUACCAAACAAGUGAAGUUCCGCCAUACUUCUAUGUUCCUUCACUUUCUUCUUAACCAAAAUAAAUAAAAAUAUCAACCAACAUUAAUGAUGUGAGUUAUUUCUUUGCUCAGUCAUACAGUAAUCAAGACUGAUUUUGUGAUGAUAUUGCUGGGAAUUGUACAAAACCUGAUGGUGGAGGAAUGAUGUCAGGGAAGAGAGUAGAGUAGGAAUCUCCAGAAAGCCAUUCUAGUAAAUAAAGGGAUACCUGGGUGGCGCAGUCAAUUAAGCAUCCAGCUCUUGGUCUCUGCCCAAGUCAUGACCUCAGGGUCAUGGGAUCGAGCCCCACAUUGGGCUCCAUACUCAACGCAGAGUCUGCUUGAGACUCUCUCCCUUUCCCUCUGCCCCCCCUUUCCCCGUGCACUCUCUCUCUCUGUCUCUAAAAUAAACAGGAACACUGUGUGUGGUACAUAAAUAAUGAAUCUUGGAAUACUGAAAAAAUAAGAUUAAAAAAAAUAAAUAUGGGAAAAAAAUUUAAAAAACAAAAACCCAUGAAAGAAAACAUUGAUAAAGUGAACCUCAUCAAAAUUAAAACCUAAUUCUAUGACAGACCCUACUAAAAGGAUGAAGAAACAACUUACGGGGGGGGGGAGGAAUACUUGCAUACUGCAUAUUCAAUUAAGGAUAUCCAGAAUAAAGAACUCUCAGAACUUAAUAAAGUAAUCUAAUUAGAACAUAAUGAACAAAAAACAAAGAGACAUUUCACUAGAGAACAUAUACAGGUGGCAAUAAGCUCAUGAAGAGAUAUUCAACACCACUAGCCAUUAGGGAAAUGCUAAGACCAUGAUGAAUUAAUAAUAACACAUCUUGCAGAACAGCUUGAAACCUCAAAAAUAAAAACAAAAAACAAAAGAUAAUACCAAACGCUGGUGAGAAUGAAGAGAAACUCAUUUUCUCAUAAAUCUAUGGUGGGAACUAAAUGGUACAGCCAAUCUGGAAAAGUUAGAUAGUUUCUUUAAAAACUACACAAUUAUUAUAUAUGCUAUUCCAAUCAGAAGUCACAGAGUUCAGAAUAGAUUAAAAAAAAAAAAAAGACCUAUCCAUAUGCUGCAUACAAGAGACUGAUUUUAGACUUAAAGUCAUCUACAAAUUGAAGUAAGGAGAUAGAGAACAUCUAUUUUGCCCAUAAACAUUAAAAAAAAAAAAAGUGCUGAAGUAGCCAUACUUUUACCAAACUAGAUUUUAAGUGAAAGACUGUAACAAGAGAUAAAGGAGAACAUUACCUCAUAAUUAAGAGGUCUAUACAUCAAGAAGAUCUAACAACUAUAAAUAUUUAUGCCCCCAACUUGGGAGCACCCAAAUAUACAAAUCAAUUAAUAGCAAACAUUAAAAAAAAAAAAACACCUCAUUGAUAAUAAUACAAUAAUAGUGGAGACUUUAGCACCACACUAACAGCAAUAGACAGAUCAUCUAAGCAUAAAAUCGACAAGGAAACAGUGGCUUUGAUUGACACAUUUGACCAGAUGAACUUAACAGAUACAUUCGAACAUUUCAUCCUAAAGAAGUGGAAUACACAUUUGCAAGUGCACAUGGAACAUUCCCUAGAAUAGAUCACAUACUGGGUCACAAAUCAGCACUCAACACGUACAAAAUAUUGAGAAUAUGCCAUGCAUAUUUUCAGACCACAACACAAUGAAACUUGAAGUCAACCACAGGAAAAAUUUGGUAAGGUCACAAAUACAUGGAAGUUAAAGAACAUCAUACUAAAGAACGAAUAGGUUAACCAGGAAAUUAAAGAAUAAAUUUAGGGGCUUCUGGGUGGCUCAGUGGGUUAAAGCCUCUGCCUUCAGCUCAGGUCAUGAUCCCAGGGUCCUGGGAUCAAGCCCUGCAUCAGUCUUUCUUAUCAGCAGGGAGCCUGCUUCCUCCUCUCUCUCUGCCUGCUUCUCUGCCA